rnacentral:lncRNA from 1 species
UCCUCCUGCCUCUGCGGCCGGCAUCUGCCGGUUUGUCCAGGCUUAGCACAGAUAAAGGCAGGGGCGAGGGGGCGCCCCCUGGCUCUGAGGACCCCCAGUUUUGCGCCCCGGGCCUAGGGGAAUCCGCUGCUCGCAGGUGAGUGUCGGGGACCAGCUCCCACCCACCUCGGGACCUCUGGUUCCAUUUCCCCACGCCCGUAGCUCAAGAUUCUUCUCCAAUGCCCGCCAUGGAGUUUGGAACCCAUGGGGAGUCCCUGGACCCUGCGAUCCGGGGCACCCCCAACCCGUGUCCGGCCAGCCGUUCUGCGAACUUCUGCGCGGAAGGCCGGAGCGACCGCAGAGCGGUGCCCGGGCAGACAAAUCGGAAAGGUCCCCUCCCAGGCCGACCGGCGGCGGCAGCACGGAGUUGGCCACGGGGACCCGCGCCAAAGCAAGCAGAUUAUCGGAGCCCUUUCAGAGCUCGCACAACAAAUGCGGCCGCCCUGGAAAGCAGCAUUUACCGGCGCAGAUCCGCGCGUUGAUGGGCAGGGAGAUAGCGUCCGCAAGGGGCGCCGUGCGCGCCAGGCCACCGAGCGUGCGCUCCCCCUCGGGCCCAGCGUGCGUGGAGGGACACGUGGGCGUGGACAUGGAGCGAAGCACGACGCGGACGUGCGUGCAAUUGUGCCAAGCAAGUGUGUGGUCCGUGUGCACACGAGUGGCAAGCAUGGCUGCAGAGUGCCCGACGACGGCCGCCGAGCGUGCACGCAGGUGCCACGUGUGGGCGCCGGGCCUCGGGCCGCUGCUCAGGGCGUGAGGAAUGGGUGUCCACGCCCAGUGUGGCGGGUGCGCACGCUGAGUGUCUCGACGUCCCCGCUGGAGGUGCCCUUCUGAAGCGCAUGGCAGAGGAGGUGUGCGGCUCGUGCAGGGUCGCCCUCUACUGUGUGCGCCUCGCGGGAUGCAGGCUUUCGAGCGUGUGCGUGCCCGGCUGCCUGGGCGAGUGCCUCGCGUGCCUUUGGGAUGUGCACGGGCCCGCAGAGGGACUGGUCCUCAGGAAGCUUUCUACCCAGGGGUUGCCAAGGGUGUAGCGAGCUAUGGGUGUAGAUCCUGCGGCUUGGGGAAGAGACAGAUCCGUGUGUCCGGAUGUGAGUGACACCAAAGCAGCUGGGCGGGCUGCGCCGGGUGCCAGGAGCGCUGGCGAAGAGAGAGUGUGCGGGUCGCCUGAGGAGUUUAGGAACGCCCAGGGGUCCUGGGCCAGAACCUCUCCGUGGCGCUCCGGAGCUGGAGCAGCAGAGCCGAGCCCCGCCGCCCGAGUCCCCGCACCGUGAGUGACACGCGUCGCUGACAAAGGCUGUAUUUUUCCAGACUCGCGCCCCGCCUAUGCGUGCGCGAUGGUCCCCAUGGCGACGCAGAUAGCACCGCAGCCAUUUUCCUAUCUGCUCGAGUCUAUUAUAUGGCGGGAUUAGCUCAUCUCCAGGCAGGUCAAACCCAAAGUCACACAACCUGCGGCGCCGGCUCCGCCCCCGGCCGCCGUCCCCCACCCGGGUCCAGCUGUGGCGGGGCGACCUGGGCCCGGAUCCCGUGCACAGGCACAGAGCGCCACCUGGCGGCCACGGGGGCCCGAAGACAUCCCUCCCGCACGGGAGGGAGAGGUGGGCCGGGUAGGGUCCCUUACUCCAAAAGAUGGAGUCCCUGCGGGCAGAGGCUUGGUUUUGUCCCUAGCAGGUGCCAAGGGCCAGGCUGGCGCACAGGAGAUGCCCCAUCAGUGUUUGUGGAAGGGACGGAGCACAGGAAGUUGUAGACAGGGCCUGACAGCCAAAGGUCACGGCUUAGUUGGCAACAGAAAACUAUUUGUGUGCAUGGAAGUCAAACUCCUUGGGAACCUGUGCAGCAGCCUCGCUGACUCCCAGGCCUCGCUUCCCCCCAGGCCUCCCUUCUCCUUGACGGGGGCCUCCAUCAGUUCUUCAAACAGGCCAGGACAACCCGCCCUUUGUCUGUGCCACCCUGUGAAUUCUGCCUCUCUCACGUGUGUACCCUGCCCUCUGUGACAAAGUUGCUGUCCUCUACCCUGCGUUCUGUGCUGCAGUAUUUAUUUCACAGUGCAGGGCACACUUGCAGGUGGUUUGUUCACCCCGGUGGUGUGCUGGAUCCCUCCGGAUCCACUAUGUCCCUGGGUAUAGCCUAGCAGCUGGAUGUAAGCAUGGAUCCCACCAUGCCUUUAUCAUCAUCGCUUUCCUGCCACCCCCCCCAUGUCCCAGCUGCAGCCAGAGGUUGAGAGAAAGACGCAGCGAUCCCUCCACAUCCUGUGCUCUGCCAGGUGACACUUCACUCAUAACAGGAGAUGAUUACGACAGAGACACCCGGAGCGGCGGUGAUUAAUUGCUGCUUGGGUGUCCACAGGAUCUGGAGCAAGCCAGCUGAGCAGGGACCAGUCCUGUGACUGGGUCUGCCAGGACCCCCCUCCUCCCCAUGUGCAUGUCCCUGCCUAUUGCCUGAGGAAAGUCACUGCGCCCCUUUGAGCCUCACCCUCCCUCCAGACUGACUGGGGAUUGUGUGUGAUCGUGUACCAGAUGUGACCGAAGUGUACAAGGGGUGUUUCCAUUUUAAGUGAUUACAGUAAAAGACACACUGCUGUUAACCCUCCUCAGGACACCCCCUUGCUUCAAACACACUCAGUUCACCCUCCUUACCACUUUCUACAGCAGCUCUGGAGUCCUCUUUCAUGUGUGUCUUUCCUAAAGGUGUGAUCAAAAUACGGUGAAUACUCCUGCCAAGUGUCACCCAAUGGAAAGGCAGGCUUGUAAAAACACAAUGCCAUGUCCUCAUCCCCCUUAUUCACCAGAUCUGACACCUGUGGCUUCUGGCUAUCCCCAAAAUCAUUCAGGCCAUGGAGGCAGCCACCACAAUGUACUAAAGACCCUUAAAAAAGAGGACUCCAGAGCUGCUGCAGAAAGUGACAAGAACAUGGGAUCAUUUUUCAGAGUGGUGGGGGAGGAUUUUGAGGGGAAUGAAUGGCACUGUGCCUUUUACUGUAAUAAAUUUUUUUUUGUACUGGCAAUCAAACUCAGGACCUUGAGCUUUCAAAGCAGGUGGCGGAACCACUGAGCUAAAUCCCCUGCCCUGUAAUAAAUUUUUUAAAGUAAACAUUCGCUGUAUCUUUUGAUCACAGCUAGUAUUUUAAGUCUUGUAACCCAGCCUUUGCUCACUGGCAGCCCAGAGACCCGGGGUGCCAUGACUGAGCAUUGCAACCGCGUGAAGUGGGAAGUUUCAAAGCAGAGCCUCAUUCCUUGCUUCUCUUGAAACUUCAUUGAAACAUUCAUGCUGCAGUCUCUAGAGCCACCCUGUGUGGCCUCUGUGCCAGGGCCCACCCAGCCACUCGAGGCCCACGUCACGGUGUGUCCCUCAUAGAGAUGCUGGGUGCUGGACUCGGUAGGUCUGGCUUUCCUUCCAAUAUGGGGUCUUACGGUAGGUAUCUCUGUGUGUGUGUGUGUGCGUGUGCGUGUGUCCAUCGGGCACUUAGUAAUUACUCAGUCAAUGAACUCAUCCAGUCGGUCCUUUGGAAUAAUGCACUGGACCCCAGGUGGACAGCCUGGGAACUUUGCUUCAGGGCAGUUAGUCCAAUGACCAAAUCGCAUGAGAUCAAGAAAGCUCACAAAGGAUGAUAAGAAUUCUGAGGGCAGGAAGAAUACACGGGGCUGAUACGGCCCCGGGCUCAGUUGCUAGGGACUGUGUAAGCCGUGGGAAACAGGCAGUGAGGUUCUGGCUGAUGAAACUUGGAGCUACAGGCUGCUUGCUAAAGGAGAGGUGCUCACACUCACCUCACGAGGGAACACAGUGCCUAAAGAGCACCAAUAAAUGGAUAAGAACAGUGGAGCAGAGCAAUGGCAAGGGAAUGAAUGGAAAAUCCUUCAGAAAGAAAAUAGAAACAGCUCUUAAAUACACAACCCAUGCUCAGUCUCUCUCAGAGAAAUGGAAAUUUAAAACACAUAUUUGGAGGGCCGGGGAUUUAGCUCAGUGGUUCCACCUCCUGCUUUGAAAGUGCAAGGUCCCGAGUUCGAUCCCCGGUACCAAAAAAAUAAAUAAAAUAGGGGCCGGGAUUUAGCUGCCUACUGCGCAAGCACAAGGACCCGAGUUCGAUCCCUGGUUCCAAAAAAAAAAAAAGAAAGUUACUUGUGAAAAACCAAGCCUAUCAAAAAUAAAUAAAAUAAAACAUAUUUGGGGUGAAAACAAAUGAGCUGAAAUAGGCUAUGGUGGUAGAUGGGACCCCCAUAAAUUAAUGAGAACGCAUUGAAGGGUACAUUUAGGUUACCUUUAUGGUAUGUCACUUAUACCACAAGAAGUUCUUAAAAAAAAAAAAAUGACAAGGCCUUGGGGUAGCUUGUGGUAAAGCACUUGCUUAGCAUGGAAGAGGUGCUGGGUUUGAUCCCCAGACCAUAAAAAAAGUCAGUAACAGCCAGGUAUGGUGCUACAUGCCUGGAACCCCAGCUACUUUGGGAGACUGAGGCAGGAGGAUGCAAGUUCAAGGCGAGCCCGGGCAAUUUAGUGAGACCCUGUCUCAAAAAGAAAAAAAAAUUUUUUUUCAGUACUAGGGAUUAAACUCAGGUCCUUGUGCUUGCAGGGCAGGCAGUGGAACCACUGAGCUAAAUCCUCAGCCCAAAAAAGAGGUUUUUUAAAGUGCUGAGGGUGCAGCCCAGUGGUACAGCGCUUGUUUAGCAUAUGUGGG